UGCCCCGUGGCUCAGUUGGCUAGAGCGUGUGACUGUUAUCUCUAUCGGUUGAGUUGUCAUCACAAGGUCGAGAGUUCAAGCCUCUCCGGGGCAG